rnacentral:rRNA from 1 species
GACGAACGCUGGCGGCGCGCCUAACACAUGCAAGUCGAACGGAGUCAAGAGGAGCUUGCUUUUCUUGACUUAGUGGCGAACGGGUGAGUAACGCGUGAGUAACCUGCCCUGGAGUGGGGGACAACAGUUGGAAACGACUGCUAAUACCGCAUAAGCCCACGGAUCCGCAUGGCUCUGCGGGAAAAGGAUUUAUUCGCUUCGGGAUGGACUCGCGUCCAAUUAGCUAGUUGGUGAGGUAACGGCCCACCAAGGCGACGAUUGGUAGCCGGACUGAGAGGUUGAACGGCCACAUUGGGACUGAGACACGGCCCAGACUCCUACGGGAGGCAGCAGUGGGGGAUAUUGCACAAUGGGGGAAACCCUGAUGCAGCGACGCCGCGUGGAGGAAGAAGGUUUUCGGAUUGUAAACUCCUGUCGUUAGGGACGAUAAUGACGGUACCUAACAAGAAAGCACCGGCUAACUACGUG